UUGACCUCAAAUCAGGUAGGACUACCCGCUGAACUUAAGCAUAUCAAUAAGCGGAGGAAAAGAAACUAACAAGGAUUCCCCUAGUAACUGCGAGUGAAGCGGGAAAAGCUCAAAUUUAAAAUCUGGCGGUAUUUUGCCGUCCGAAUUGUAGGCUAGAGAAGUGUUACCCGUACUGGACCGUGUAUAAGUCUCCUGGGAUGGAGCGUCAUAGAGGGUGAGAAUCCCGUCUUUGACAUGGACUACCAGUGCAUUGUGGUAUGCUCUCAAAGAGUUGAGUUGUUUGGGAAUGCAGCUCUAAAUGGGUGGUAAAUUCCAUCUAAAGCUAAAUAUUGGCGAGAGACCGAUAGCGAACAAGUACCGUGAGGGAAAGAUGAAAAGAACUUUGGAAAGAGAGUUAAACAGUAUGUGAAAUUGUUGAAAGGGAAACGUUUGAAGUCAGUCAUGUUGGUCAGGGAUCAAGUCAGCAGAUAUGCUGGGUUUACUUCCUGGGCAAUGGGUCAACAUCAGUUUCGACGGCUGGAGAAAGGCGUUGGGAAUGUGGCACCUCCGGGUGUGUUAUAGCCCAUUGUCAUAUACAGCGGUUGGGACUGAGGAACGCAGCGCGCCGCAAGGCAGGGUUUCGACCACGUACGCGCUUAGGAUGUUGGCAUAAUGGCUUUAAGUGACCCGUCUUGAAACACGGACCAAGGAGUCUAACAUGCCUGCGAGUGUUUGGGUUUCAAACCCUUGCGCGCAAUGAAAGUGAUAGUUGAGAUCCCUGUUAAAGGGGAGCAUCGAUGCCCAGACCAGAACAUUUGGGACGGAUCUGCGGUAGAGCAAGCAUGUUGGGACCCGAAAGAUGGUGAACUAUGCCUGAAUAGGGCGAAGCCAGAGGAAACUCUGGUGGAGGCU
rnacentral:rRNA from 1 species